AUUGAACGCUGGCGGCAGGCUUAACACAUGCAAGUCGAGCGGAGCGAGGGUGCUUGCACCUUAGCUUAGCGGCGGACGGGUGAGUAAUGCUUAGGAAUCUGCCUAUUAGUGGGGGACAACAUUCCGAAAGGAAUGCUAAUACCGCAUACGCCCUGCGGGGGAAAGCAGGGGAGCUUCGGACCUUGCGCUAAUAGAUGAGCCUAAGUCGGAUUAGCUAGGUGGUGGGGUAAAGGCCUACCAAGGCGACGAUCUGUAGCGGGUCUGAGAGGAUGAUCCGCCACACUGGGACUGAGACACGGCCCAGACUCCUACGGGAGGCAGCAGUGGGGAAUAUUGGACAAUGGGCGGAAGCCUGAUCCAGCCAUGCCGCGUGUGUGAAGAAGGCCUUUUGGUUGUAAAGCACUUUAAGCGAGGAGGAGGCUACUAGUACUAAUACUACUGGAUAGUGGACGUUACUCGCAGAAUAAGCACCGGCUAACUCUGUGCCAGCCGCCGCCGUAACAC
rnacentral:rRNA from 1 species